rnacentral:tRNA from 1 species
UGGCCAGCAGCUUGCCGAGGCCGAAGCCGUCGACGCCCGCGUUGUUGGAGAUGGCCGUGAGGUUCUUGACCCCGCUGGCCUGC